rnacentral:rRNA from 1 species
UACAGAGGGGGCAAGCGUUAUUCGGAAUUAUUGGGCGUAAAGGGCGCGUAGGCGGCCUGGCAAGUGGAAGGUGAAAUCCCUCGGCUUAACCGAGGAACUGCCCUCCAAACUGCUUGGCUUGAGUCCGGGAGAGGUGAGUGGAAUUCCCAGUGUAGCGGUGAAAUGCGUAGAUAUUGGGAGGAACACCAGUGGCGAAGGCGGCUCACUGGACCGGAACUGACGCUGAGGCGCGAAAGCUAGGGGAGCGAACCGG